rnacentral:SRP_RNA from 1 species
GCUGGGGGCGGUGGCUCACACCUGUAAUCCCAGCUACUCGGGAGGCUGAGGCAGGAGAAUGGUGUGAACCCGGGAGGUGGAGCUUGCAGUGAGCCGAGAUUGUGCCACUGCACUCCAGCCUGGGCUACAGUGCGAGACUCCAUCUCAAAUAAAUAAAUAAAAUAGGCUGGGGGCGGUGGCNNNNNNNNNNGUCUCGCACUGUAGCCCAGGCUGGAGUGCAGUGGCACAAUCUCGGCUCACUGCAAGCUCCACCUCCCGGGUUCACACCAUUCUCCUGCCUCAG